rnacentral:rRNA from 1 species
CAGUAGCCGCGGUAAUUCGGAGGGGGCUAGCGUUGCUCGGAAUCACUGGGCGUAAAGGGUGCGUAGGCGGGUUUUUAAGUCAGAGGUGAAAUCCUGGAGCUCAACUCCAGAACUGCCUUUGAUACUGAAAGUCUUGAGUUCGGGAGAGGUGUGUGGAACUCCGAGUGUAGAGGUGAAAUUCGUAGAUAUUCGGAAGAACACCAGUGGCGAAGGCGACACACUGGCCCGAUACUGACGCUGAGGCGCGAAAGCGUGGGGAGCAAACAGGAUUAGAUACCCGUGUAGUCCCUGUCUCUUAUAC